AUCACCUGUGGAUAUUUGAACUGCUAUCGUGGGACUCUGGGUGAUUGCCGGGUUCUGGCGACAGGUGCUUGGUAUACAAAACUUUGUUUCUCACACGCCGGCUGUAAUAUUCAUGCUCAACAGCUUACAGAAGGAAGCCUAGGAGGCUUGGGAAGGAGCUGCCAUGGACUGGCCUGAUAGCUGCCUCCUCCAACGCAGUUCUGAGCCCGGGAGCCACAGAGGUCAAGUCCAGUCCAGUGUUCGCUGGGCUGUGUGAUGAGUUAGGACACCCUGCCCACCUGACUUUUCAAGUUCAGGACUUUUCUAGGGGAUUAGAAGGCAGGGUACUCCCCUCAUCUACUUCUAUUACGCUUCUCCUGCUCGAUGGAUGGAACCACCAGAUCCCCACACUGUGCAGGCAACUCCAGUCCCAGCCAUGAAACAUGACACCUGUGAAGAUUUUGACUGGAGGACUGUUACCCAUUAACCCAGGCCCUUUCAAUACAAUCAGGAGGUGAAUCAAAAAAGAUAUUGUGGGACUUCCCUGGUGGUGCAGUGGUUAAGAAUCUGCCUGCCAAUGCAGGGGACACAGGUUUGAGCCCUGGUCCGGGAAGAUCCCACAUGCUGCAGAGCAACUAAGCCCGUGCGCCACAACUACUGAGCCUGCACUCUAGAGCCCGCAAGCCACAGCUACCAAGCCCACGAGCCACAACUACUGAAGCCUGCACACCCUAGAGCCUGUGCUCUGCAACAAGAGAAGCCACUGCAAUGAGAAGCCCACGCACUGCAAAUGAAGAGUAGCCCCCGCUCGCCACAACUAAAGAAAGCCUGCACGUAGCAACAAAGACCCAACACAGCCAAAAAUAAAUAAAUUAAUUAAUUUAAAAAAAGAUAUUGCUGAGAUUUAUGUCAGAGAGUGUUCUGCCUAUGUUUUCCUCUAAGAGUUUUAUAGUAUCCAGCCUUACAUUUAGGUCUUUAACCCAUUUUGAGUUUAUUUUUGUAUAUGAUGUUAGAGAGUAUUUUUAAUUUCAUUCUUAAAAAUAUGUAAUGCUUCACAAAUUUGUGUGUCAUUCUUGUGCAGGGGCCAUGCUAAUCUUCUCUGUAUCAUUCCAAUUUUAGUAUAUGUGCUGCCAAGUGUGUACACAUAUGUUUUUUGAUUAAUUGAAAAAAUAUUAGUUGAAAUGAAUGUGACCCACAGGAAGGUUGAGAUAGCAUCUGUUUUGUGCCACUGUUUUUACUCUUAGUACUUAGAACAAUGUCUGACAUAGAGCAGGUGCUGAAAAAAUAUUUGUUGAAUAAACUAAAAAGGGCAAUAUCAUAAAAUUUUUAAAAUGACUUACACCUAAUAUAAGACCACUGUGUAAUCUCUUCCAUUUCUCUUGCUUUUGCAGAUAAUUUUAUAUACUCAAUUUCACCAUGAUCAUUUUCCUUUAACAGUAUUGUUCUUGUAUCAGAAUCUUAUUUGUCAAGCCUCACUUUCCUCUCUUAAUAUAAAAAAAAAGUAUCAAUUUUACAAAAUCUUCCUUUUCCAACUUCACUCACUAACAGCUUUAGAUAUAA